CAGUGAGGAAAUCAUUAUUCGGUUGAUGUAUGGUGGAAGGUUAUUAAAAGAUCCAGAUGGCAAAGUAUCUUAUGAUUGUAGCUUCCGUAAGCCAAAGCAUAUCACAUAUAUGACAAUAUUUGCACAGAGUUGUGUUCAUUUGCCAGGGAAGUAAGUGACAUAGCCGACAAUUUGAUAUUUGAGCUCAGAUAUUUUGCGAGUCAUAAAGAUCAAGUUAGAGAGAGAUCAUGAUUGAACAACAAUGGUCAUAUGCAACUCUGGAUGUUCCUUUAACAAUGUGGACACGGUCACUGAAGAAUCAGGGAUGCAAGUCACAGGUUCAGCUUCUCAUAUGAAUUUGUGUUCAGACGCACAAUAAUGUUGCAAGGAUAGGAGGGAUCGGCUUCAUGGAGAUGAAGUACUUGGAUGUGGCUUACUUGGGGAGAUGAGAUAAAUAAGGGAUACUUUUGUACAUAUGUAGGUUUAGACAUUCAUUAACGUUAGAUGGCUAGCUAACGUUUUGUUUGUUUCGUGUUCUUGGAUUCCAACAUCUGCCCAUUUGAUCGUGUUUGUUAUUUUAUCCUUCUUUGGAUUCAAUAUGUCGAAGGAUUCACUGUUUCUUGUGAAUGACAUGUACAGAUCUGGAGUCUUUAAUUUCAGAGUAUCAGGCAGUUUUUCAAUUUGUGAUUGAUAUAUUGAGUUCACACUAUCUUUGUUGAGCUUAUAUAACUGUUGUCAGACUCCUGCCCUCCAUGUUACUUGACUUUUUAGAAAUAAAAUGAUUGAGCAGUUUCUGGUCUUAA